GAUGAACGCUGGCGGCGUGCCUAAUACAUGCAAGUCGAGCGAACAGAUGAGGAGCUUGCUCCUCUGACGUUAGCGGCGGACGGGUGAGUAACACGUGGAUAACCUACCUAUAAGACUGGGAUAACUUCGGGAAACCGGAGCUAAUACCGGAUAAUAUAUUGAACCGCAUGGUUCAAUAGUGAAAGACGGUUUUGCUGUCACUUAUAGAUGGAUCCGCGCCGCAUUAGCUAGUUGGUAAGGUAACGGCUUACCAAGGCAACGAUGCGUAGCCGACCUGAGAGGGUGUUCGGCCACACUGGAACUGAGACACGGUCCAGACUCCUACGGGAGGCAGCAGUAGGGAAUCUUCCGCAAUGGGCGAAAGCCUGACGGAGCAACGCCGCGUGAGUGAUGAAGGUCUUCGGAUCGUAAAACUCUGUUAUUAGGGAAGAACAAAUGUGUAGGUAACUAUGCACGUCUUGACGGUACCUAAUCAGAAAGCCACGGCUAACUACGUG
rnacentral:rRNA from 1 species